GUAGGUGGCAAGCGUUGUCCGGAAUUAUUGGGCGUAAAGCGCGCGCAGGCGGUUCUUUAAGUCUGAUGUGAAAGCCCACGGCUCAACCGUGGAGGGUCAUUGGAAACUGGAGAGCUUGAGUACAGAAGAGGAAAGCGGAAUUCCACGUGUAGCGGUGAAAUGCGUAGAGAUGUGGAGGAACACCAGUGGCGAAGGCGGCUUUCUGGUCUGUAACUGACGCUGAGGCGCGAAAGCGUGGGGGAGCAAACAGGAUUAGAUACCCUGGUAGUCCACGCCGUAAACGAUGAGUGCUAAGUGUUAGGGGGUUUCCGCCCCUUAGUGCUGCAGCUAACGCAUUAAGCACUCCGCCCUGGGAGUACGGCCGCAAGGCUG
rnacentral:rRNA from 1 species